rnacentral:tRNA from 1 species
UCUAGUAUGGCAGAUUAGUGCAAUGAAUUUAAGCUUCAUUUAAAAAGUAUUUCUUUUACUAGAA